rnacentral:rRNA from 1 species
UGGGGAAUAUUGCACAAUGGGCGCAAGCCUGAUGCAGCCAUGCCGCGUGUAUGAAGAAGGCCUUCGGGUUGUAAAGUACUUACAGCGGGGAGGAAGGGAGUAAAGUUAAUACCUUUGCUCAUUGACGUUACCCGCAGAAGAAGCACCGGCUAACUCCGUGCCAGCAGCCGCGGUAAUACGGAGGGUGCAAGCGUUAAUCGGAAUUACUGGGCGUAAAGCGCACGCAGGCGGUCUGUCAAGUCGGAUGUGAAAUCCCCGGGCUUAACCUGGGAACUGCAUUCGAAACUGGCAGGCUAGAGUCUUGUAGAGGGGGGUAGAAUUCCAGGUGUAGCGGUGAAAUGCGUAGAGAUCUGGAGGAAUACCGGUGGCGAAGGCGGCCCCCUGGACAAAGACUGACGCUCAGGUGCGAAAGCGUGGGGAGCAAACAGG